CCUUAUCAUUCGACUGUCCAGACUGCUGUUUUGGAGACCUGGACGGAGAACUGAUAAGGGC
rnacentral:pre_miRNA from 1 species